rnacentral:rRNA from 1 species
CAGUAGCCACGGGAAUACGUAGGUGGCAAGCGUUGUCCGGAAUUAUUGGGUGUAAAGCGCGCGCAGGCGGUUUCUUAAGUCUGAUGUGAAAGCCCCCGGCUUAACCGGGGAGGGUCAUUGGAAACUGGGAGACUUAGAGUGCAGAAGAGGAGAGUGGAAUUCCAUGUGUAGCGGUGAAAUGCGUAGAUAUAUGGAGGAACACCAGUGGCGAAGGCGACUCUCUGGUCUGUAACUGACGCUGAGGCGCGAAAGCGUGGGGAGCAAACAGGAUUAGAUACCCGAGUAGUCCCUGUCUCUUAUA